rnacentral:rRNA from 1 species
CUCGGGGCGGCAGGCUUACACAUGCAGUCGAGCGAAGACUUCGGUCUUAGCGGCGGACGGGUGAGUAACGCGUGGGAACGUGCCCUUCACUACGGAAUAGUCCCGGGAAACUGGGUUUAAUACCGUAUACGCCCUUCGGGGGAAAGAUUUAUCGGUGAAGGAUCGGCCCGCGUCUGAUUAGAUAGUUGGUGGGGUAACGGCCUACCAAGUCGACGAUCAGUAGCUGGUUUUAGAGGAUGAUCAGCCACACUGGGACUGAGACACGGCCCAGACUCCUACGGGAGGCAGCAGUGGGGAAUCUUAGACAAUGGGCGCAAGCCUGAUCUAGCCAUGCCGCGUGAGUGAUGAAGGCCUUAGGGUCGUAAAGCUCUUUCGCCAGGGAUGAUAAUGACAGUACCUGGUAAAGAAACCCCGGCUAACUCCGUGCCAGCAGCCGCGGUAAU